CCCUUAGAUGUUCUGGGCUGCACGCGCGCUACACUGAUGCAUCCAGCGAGUUGUAACCUUGCUUGGUAAAGUUUGGUAAUCUGAGCCUAAUGUGCAUCGUGAUGGGAAUAGAGUUUUGCAACUAUUAGUCUUGAACGAGGAAUUCCUCGUAAGCACGAGUCAUCAGCUUGUGCUGAUUACGUCCCUGCCCUUUGUACACACCGCCCGUCGCUCCUACCGAUUGGGUGCUCCGGUGAAUAAUUCGGACUGCAGCACUGCUUGGUCUCCAGGCUUUGCAGCGGAAAGUUUAGUGAACCUUAUCACUUAGAGGAAGGAGAAGUCGUAACA
rnacentral:rRNA from 1 species